CUUAACACACCAUCUGAAAUGAGACUCUGUCAUGAAAAAGUGCUGAAUAGCAAAGCAGAUUUCAAGACUUUCUCAGUUCUAUUCUGCUCCGAUACUGGCAUCCAUGUAAGUCUGGAUAAUACAUCUGCAUAUUCUUCCCUUCCUGUAAAAGGGAUCACACAGAUCAUACUGCCCUGCUGGUGUGGAAACUGGAGGUACAUGGGAGGCUGGGAGAAGACACAGCCAGGACAGGUGACCCAAACUGAUGAAAGGAAUAUUCCAGACCGUAUGACAUCAUGCUCGGUAUAUAAAGUGGAGGGAAGAAGGAGAAAAGGGGAGGACAUUUGGAGUGAUGGCAUCUGUCUUCCAAAGUUACCGUUCCGUGUGAUGUGGCCCUACUCUCCUCGGGAGGUCUGAACACCUGCCUGUCCACAGGAAGGAGUGAAUUAAUUCUUUGUUUUGUUCUACUUGUGUGUGUAACUUUUGCUUUUCCUAUUAAAUUCUCUUUAUCUCAACUCACGAAUUUUCUACCUUUCGCCCUUCCAACUCUCUUUGAUCUCACUGGGGGGAGUGAGCAAGCGGCUACAUGGGUCUUGGCUGCUGACGAAAUAGCAUAUGAGAGAAGAUAAGAAUUGUCAUGCUGGGAUGAGACAGUCCACCCAUUAAAGCACUAGCCUACAACCAAGAAUAUCUAUUCUCAUGUGUUUUACAUGAACAUGGGAAAACAUUAUGCUUAAACAAAUCUCAUGAGGAAGGAAAUUCUGAAAGGUAAAGAGACCUAAUGGAAACCUUUUGUGAUAGUUCCACAUAUUUGAAAGUUUGAAAGGGAAUUGAUAUUUUUGAAUGUUGCAAAGUUGUACUCAAAUCGGCAGGAGUCCAGCUGAGGAUAAAGCAUGUGAACUGCAUAGGUUUUAAACCAACAUAUGUUGACUUAGCACCCCAUUAACAGAGAUAUGUCAUAAUUGCUUUCACUUCAGUCUAGA